ACCCGCACAAGCGGUGGAUGAUGUGGAUUAAUUCGAUGCAACGCGAAAACCUUACCUACCUGACAUGCCAGGAAUCCUGCAGAGAUGUGGGAGUGCUCGAAAGAGAACCUGGACACAGGUGCUGCAUGGCUGUCGUCAGCUCGUGUCGUGAGAUGUUGGGUUAAGUCCCGCAACGAGCGCAACCCUUGUCAUUAGUUGCCAUCAUUAAGUUGGGCACUCUAAUGAGACUGCCGGUGACAAACCGGAGGAAGGUGGGGAUGACGUCAAGUCCUCAUGGCCCUUAUGGGUAGGGCUUCACACGUCAUACAAUGGUCGGUACAAAGGGUUGCCAAGCCGCGAGGUGGAGCCAAUCCCAGAAAGCCGAUCGUAGUCCGGAUCGGAGUCUGCAACUCGACUCCGUGAAGUCGGAAUCGCUAGUAAUCGUGGAUCAGCAUGCCACGGUGAAUACGUUCCCGGGUCUU
rnacentral:rRNA from 1 species